rnacentral:lncRNA from 1 species
AGUAGGGUCCUUUGCUCUUGGACGGUAGUGUGGUGGGCACUGCUCAGCUGCAACCCCUUGGAUUCCCUCUCCCUGGGCGGGCCGGGGUGGAUCGUGGGCGUGAACCUCGAGAGGCGGGACGAAGUAUUGCAGAAAAGGGAGGCCCUCACGAGGAAUCUUACUGAAUUGCAGACUCUCCAGUUACAAGAAAGCUGCCUGUCUGAAUUUUUAGAAGAGCUGCUUUUGCUGGUUCCAAAGAUUCUGUUACUAGAAAACUCUGCUCUGAGCUGGCUCCUGAGCUCCUUUGAUAAUGGCUGAGGCCAGUUCCUGACUCUUCUGCUGAGUAAUACCAGAGUCCUCUCACGAACCACUGAGAGGGAAACCUCCAGGAUCCUAGAGCGGACGACUUGGUAUCUGGGG